GAUGAACGCUGGCGGCGUGCUUAACACAUGCAAGUCGAACGAUGAAGCCCAGCUUGCUGGGUGGAUUAGUGGCCAACGGGUGAGUAACUCGUGAGUAACCUGCCCUUUACUCUGGGAUAAGCGCUGGCAACGGCGUCUAAUACCUGAUACGAGCUUCCACCGCAUGGUGAGUUCCUGGAAAGAAUUUCGGUCAAGGAUGGACGCGCGGCCUAUCAGGUAGUUGGUGAGGUAACGGCUCACCAAGCCGAAGACGGGUAGCCGGCAUGGGACGGGGAACGGGCACAAGGGGCCUGAGAGAGGGACCAGACGGGAAUGGGGGGCAGCGGGGGGGAACCUUGCACAGUGGGCCCAAGCAGGAUGCAGCGGCGUCGGGGGAGGGAAGAAGGUUUGUGGGGAGAAAAACUCUUUUAGCAGGGAAGCAGCGAAAGUGACGGUACCUACAGAAAAAGCACCGGCUAACUACGUG
rnacentral:rRNA from 1 species